AUCCUCUCGAAGCAACUUUUUUUUGUUUUCUAAGCCUUUCGCUCCUUUUCUCCUCGCUUUCAUUUUCUACUGUUCUCUCCCUCCAGUUUCUCUCUCUUGCCUCUCUCUCUCUCUCUCUCGCCGGUGAAUCUCCUUUUCCUCUCGUCGGUAAAGUGCACGCCGUCUCCGAGCACUGCCGUCUUCAGCCUCGGAGAUUCUCUCUUUAUUGCCGCUUGCGUGUGCUCGUCGCUUUCCUCCGAUUCCGCUCUGGAACCUCUGGAUCUCGGAAAAUCUGGUUGUUCUUGUUCUUCGUCUCUUUUGAGAAUGUGGUCCGCUUCCUCCUCCUUUCGCUCCUGCGCUUGAAUGCUCCUACUUGGACUGUGAUCUAGGGUUUCGGUUUCUGGAUUUUCGAUUUGUUUUUAACUCUGUUUCUCCGUGGUGGUGCUGUUUCGACGAAGAGAACGAAGACGGAGGCGAGUAAGAAUAAGACGCAGCUCCGGGAUGAGAUGGUGGAGGGAAAAAAUUGUAAAUCGAGAGAGGAUAGAAAUGGGCUAGCUCUUCUGAAGCUCAAGAGGCUUCAGGCUACAAAUUCUGAAACUGCCAACAAAACUUCAUCUGUCAAGAAUAUGAUGAAUAGAAGUGGAGGUGAUGCUUUAAGGGUCUCAUCUACUUGUGGUGUGAGAUUACUUAGUGGCAAUGUAGAAACCUUUUCUCGUUCAAGUGGCAUGUCGAAUGAGAGGGAUGUCUUUUCUAAAAGGAGAGUAGACAAGUUUGAGUAUGAUGAUUUAGAGUGGACCGAAAAGAUUCCGGAAUGCCCUGUAUAUUCUCCGUCAAAGGAGGAAUUUGAGGAUCCUUUGGUCUAUUUGCAAAAGAUAGCUCCUGAAGCCUCAAAAUACGGCAUAUGCAAGAUUAUCUCCCCACUGAUUGCUUCUGUUCCUGCUGGUGCUUUAUUAAGUAAGGAGAAACCAGGUUUCAAGUUUACAACGAGAGUGCAACCUUUUCGCUUUGCUGAAUGGGAUACUGAUGAUCAGGUUACCUUUUACAUGAGUGGCAGGAACUAUUCAUUUCGCGAUUUUGAAAAAUUUGCGAACAAGAUAUAUGCCCGUAGAUAUAGUAGUUCUGGAUGUCUACCUGCCUCAUAUAUGGAAAAGGAAUUUUGGCGUGAAAUUUCUUGUGGAAGGACGGAAAGUGUAGAAUAUGCUUGCGAUGUUGAGGGUAGUGCCUUUUCAUCUUCUCCAUCUGAUGAGCUUGGGACAAGUAAAUGGAAUUUGAAGAAUCUUUCUCGGCUGCCCAAGUCCAUACUACGCCUGCUGGAAAAUCCAAUACCGGGAGUAACGGACCCCAUGCUUUAUAUUGGAAUGCUGUUUAGUAUGUUUGCGUGGCAUGUGGAGGAUCAUUAUCUAUACAGUAUUAAUUAUCAUCAUUGUGGGGCAUCUAAAACUUGGUAUGGCAUUCCUGGUCAAGCAGCUUUGCAGUUUGAAAAUGUUGUCAGGGAGCAUGUAUACACCCAGGAUAUCUUAUCAACUGUUGGAGAGGAUGGAGCAUUUGACGUGCUUCUGGGGAAAACAACGUUGUUUCCACCCAGUAUUUUGUUGGAUCAUAAGGUGCCUGUAUACAGAGCUGUCCAGAAACCCGGGGAGUUUGUAAUCACCUUCCCCAGAGCAUAUCAUGCUGGAUUCAGUCAUGGCUUCAAUUGUGGUGAAGCAGUAAACUUUGCAAUGGGUGAUUGGUUCCCCCUGGGUGCUGUUGCCAGCCAGCGGUAUGCACUCCUGAACAGGAUGCCUCUACUUCCUCAUGAAGAGCUUCUAUGUAAAGAAGCAAUGCUUCUCUAUACAAAUUCAGAACUUGUAGACCCACAUUAUGCUUCUGCAGAGUCAACCUCUCAUUAUUCUAUCAAGACUUCUUUUGUGAGUAUGAUUCGCUUCCAGCACCGCGCUCGGUGGUCUUUGAUGAAAUCAAGAACAUGCACUGGUGUUUCACCAAAUUUUCAUGGAACCAUUCUUUGCAGCUUGUGCAAACGUGACUGCUAUAUUUCUUAUAUCAACUGCAAUUGUUAUGGACAUCCAGUGUGUCUUCGUCAUGAUAUCAAAUCUCUGAAUUUCUCGUGUGGUAGCAACCGUACACUCUUCUCGUGUGAGGAUAUUUUAGAAAUGGAAUCUGCAGCUCAGAAAUUUGAGCAGGAGUGUGGAACAUUGGAUGAGAUUGGGGGGCAAGCUUAUAAUGGUGAAGAAUUAUAUUCUUAUCCUCUGUUAAAUUUAUUUAAACGAGAUGUUGUGGACGGAUACACUCCUUAUUGCAAGAUAGAAGUGCAGUUGAAUUCUGAAUUUACUGCUGCGGCUAUCUGUCGCUUGGGAGAAAAUGAGUGUGUUUCCAGUAGCCAGCCUACACAAAGUUGUAUCACUGAAAACCAUAGACCUGAACCAUCAGAUCCAUCUCUCUCUUUUGAAGCGUCAACUUUUUGUUCAAUUGUAGACUAUAAUGAAACACUGUCCACCACUAGCCAUGUACAAAAAAAUUCAAGUUUUGAACAGUCUUCUGAAGUUUCGAACAGGGCGCUUGAAUCAUCACGUAACAAUUGCUCAAGUAAAUCUCCAGGCAGUGUACGUGUAUCAGAGCUAACGACUGUUGUAGAUCGUGAAAGUGAUGAUUCUGAUACAGAAAUUUUUAGGGUCAAGCGUCGCCCUCUGAAGCUGGAUAAAAAGACCGGGAGCGAUGCCACAUCUUUAAAACAUUUUGCUAGCCAGCAGGAUGGCCGCAAAAGAUUGAAGAGACUCCAAACAAAUGGGAAUUCUGAGGGAGUAACGCCAUCGUAUGGUCGUGGAACUGACAACUCACGUUAUAAAUUAUACCCUUCCAGUACUUACAAGGACUCUGCAGAGAGUGAUGCAAUUGACAAGUAUAGCAGAGGGAGUACUAUUCCCAUUUCUACUAUGUGCCAGAGAUUCAGCAAGGAGAAACUAAAUAGUAAUAGACAGCGCGUCUAUGAACUCAACAAUCGCAGGAGGGAAAGGUUUCAGCAUGAGAUGGGAAAGCCCAAAAGGGUACUACAUCCACAUCCCUCUAUGGACACUGGGUCAAAGCGUGUCAAAAUUAGAGGCCCAACACCCGGUCGGCCCGAUUGAUCCUAAUGGGCCUGAAGCUCGGCUAUGGUGGCCUUACCUCUCUCUCUGUACAGCCGCAUUUGAUAGAGAGCCUGACUUUGCUAAUCUUAGUCUUCAUUAAUGGGGGUUCUAACCACAACACAAUGGAAAAGCCAUAGAUGAUUUGAUGAUAUGAUUAUUCUUCUGGGAGCAGUGAUACAGCCAUUUAACCUAGGAUGCAACAUUUUAACAUUCUUUGUGAAGGCCUUAAAAAUGGGGGCCGUUCGCACUCAGUCACAUGUGGCGAUGAUGAUGAUGAUGAUUCAGAUUCUUGAGGGUAACCCGAGUCGGUACCGGGCCAUUUAUCCCGCCGUCCUGGGACAACCUUAUCUGCAGCAGCUCUGCUUUAAGCAGAGAGACAAUAUUUUGGGUCUCGUAUUCUUGUGGUGGGGGCAAUAGGCAAAGCGCUGCUGCUCCCAGUCCCAGGUAAAGGACAUGUUUGAAUGAGUGGUGAUAUUGUUUUAUUCUGUUUAGAGAUAUGGUUGCGUGAGACAAAACUAUCCCCCACCCAUCGUCAUUUCCACCUUUUUAUUCCCCCACCCCUUAAAGAUGAAAAGAGAAUAUAUUUGGUUUGAAUGGUGGGGGAAGGUACCAAACCAGAAUUUUUAGAAUGAGAAAGGAACCUUUUUUUUCCUUUUGAAAA